UACGUAGGGGGCAAGCGUUGUCCGGAAUCAUUGGGCGUAAAGCGCGUGUAGGCGGUUCAGUAAGUCUGCUGUGAAAGUCCAGGGCUCAACCCUGGGAUGCCGGUGGAUACUGCUGGGCUAGAGUACGGAAGAGGCGAGUGGAAUUCCCGGUGUAGCGGUGAAAUGCGCAGAUAUCAGGAGGAACACCGAUGGCGAAGGCAGCUCGCUGGGACGGUACUGACGCUGAGGCGCGAAAGCGUGGGGAGCAAACAGG
rnacentral:rRNA from 1 species